rnacentral:misc_RNA from 1 species
GUAUAGUAGUGCGUGUGCACAACAGUAAUUUCAUUACAUUCGAGUUUGUGUAAAAUCCUCUGCCGGCCGAAGCUAGCAGAGGCCAAAGGUUCACAGGGUAUUGGAUGAAAGUCACCGACGUGCACUUGCCAAAGCCGAAGCCGGCCAGCACUGAAGGCAACCAUUCGCAAUCAUUAAUGAUCCUUCCGCAGGUUCACCUACGGAAA